rnacentral:rRNA from 1 species
GACGAACGCUGGCGGCGUGCUUAACACAUGCGAGUCGAACGGAAAGGCCCUUCGGGGUACUCGAGUGGCGAACGGGUGAGUAACACGUGGGCGAUCUGCCCUGCACUUUGGGAUAAGCCUGGGAAACUGGGUCUAAUACCGAAUAGGACCACGCGCUUCAUGGUGUGUGGUGGAAAGCUUUUGCGGUGUGGGAUGGGCCCGCGGCCUAUCAGCUUGUUGGUGGGGUAAUGGCCUACCAAGGCGACGACGGGUAGCCGGCCUGAGAGGGUGACCGGCCACACUGGGACUGAGAUACGGCCCAGACUCCUACGGGAGGCAGCAGUGGGGAAUAUUGCACAAUGGGCGCAAGCCUGAUGCAGCGACGCCGCGUGAGGGAUGACGGCCUUCGGGUUGUAAACCUCUUUCAAUAGGGACGAAGCGCAAGUGACGGUACCUAUAGAAGAAGCACCGGCCAACUACGUG